UGGGGAAUAUUGCACAAUGGGGGAAACCCUGAUGCAGCGACGCCGCGUGAACGAAGAAGGUAUUCGUAUCGUAAAGUUCUGUCCUAUGGGAAGAUAAUGACAGUACCAUAGAAGAAAGCUCCGGCUAAAUACGUGCCAGCAGCCGCGGUAAUACGUAUGGAGCGAGCGUUGUCCGGAAUUAUUGGGCGUAAAGGGUACGCAGGCGGUUUAAUAAGUCGAAUGUUAAAGAUCGGGGCUCAACCCCGCAAAGCAUUGGAAACUGAUAAACUUGAGUAGUGGAGAGGAAAGUGGAAUUCCUAGUGUAGUGGUGAAAUACGUAGAUAUUAGGAGGAAUACCAGUAGCGAAGGCGACUUACUGGACACAAACUGACGCUGAGGUACGAAAGCGUGGGGAGCAAACAGG
rnacentral:rRNA from 1 species